CCAAAUUAUGCUGAAAUAUCGGUUCCCGUAAGAUCACUGAAGUUAAGCAACAUCGAGCUUGGUCAGUACCGAGGUGGGUGACUUCUAGGGAAUACCAGGUGU